rnacentral:lncRNA from 1 species
UACAUUUUAAUGAAGUAAUUAUGUAAAAAACUUUAUUUUAGGCUUUUGAGAUGCAAAGUGCUAAAGAAUUAUUUUUUGAAUGGCAAAGGGCUAAAGAGAUUAAUUGUGCAAUUGGAAUCACAAUGAAAGGUUUUAGAUAACAAGUUGAUGUUACAAUUUACUUAUGUUUCAUUAUAUUUCUAUUUUAUUGUGUGCAUAUUUGAUAGUAUGAAGUGUGUUAAAUGUGAGAUAUGUC